AUUGAACGCUGGCGGCAGGCCUAACACAUGCAAGUCGAGCGGAUGACGGGAGCUUGCUCCUUGAUUCAGCGGCGGACGGGUGAGUAAUGCCUAGGAAUCUGCCUGGUAGUGGGGGACAACGUUUCGAAAGGAACGCUAAUACCGCAUACGUCCUACGGGAGAAAGCAGGGGACCUUCGGGCCUUGCACUAUCAGAUGAGCCUAGGUCGGAUUAGCUAGUUGGUGGGGUAAUGGCUCACCAAGGCGACGAUCCGUAACUGGUCUGAGAGGAUGAUCAGUCACACUGGAACCGAGACACGGUCCAGACUCCUACGGGAGGCAGCAGUGGGGAAUAUUGGACAAUGGGCGAAAGCCUGAUCCAGCCAUGCCGCGUGUGUGAAGAAGGUCUUCGGAUUGUAAAGCACUUUAAGUUGGGAGGAAGGGCAGUAAGUUAAUACCUUGCUGUUUUGACGUUACCGACAGAAUAAGCACCGGCUAACUCUGUGCCAGCCGCCGCGGUAAAAC
rnacentral:rRNA from 1 species